GACGAACGCUGGCGGCGUGCUUAACACAUGCAAGUCGAACGGAAAGGCCCUGCUUUUGUGGGGUGCUCGAGUGGCGAACGGGUGAGUAACACGUGAGUAACCUGCCCUUGACUUUGGGAUAACUUCAGGAAACUGGGGCUAUUACCGGAUAGAAGCUCCUGCUGCAUGGGGGGGGUUGGAAAGUUUCGGCGGUUGGGGAUGGACUCGCGGCUUAUCCGCUUGUUGGUGGGGUAGUGGCUUACCAAGGCUUUGAGGGGUAGCCGGCCUGGGAGGGGGACCGGGCACAUGGGGACUGAGAUACGGACCAGACGCCUACGGGAGGCAGCAGUGGAGAAUAUUGCACAAUGGGGGGAAGCCUGAUGCAGCAACGCCGCGUGCGGGAUGACGGCUUUCGGGUUGUAAACCGCUUUCGCCUGUGACGAAGCGUGAGUGACGGUAAUGGGUAAAGAAGCACCGGCUAACUACGUG
rnacentral:rRNA from 1 species